rnacentral:rRNA from 1 species
GAUGAACGCUGGCGGCGUGCUUAACACAUGCAAGUCGAACGGAAAGGCCAGUGCUUGCCCUGGUACUCGAGUGGCGAACGGGUGAGUAACACGUGGGUGAUCUGCCCUGUACUUCGGGAUAAGCUUGGGAAACUGGGUCUAAUACCGGAUAGGACAACUUUUUGGAUAUUGUUGUGGAAAGCUUUUGCGGUAUGGGAUGAGCUCGCGGCCUAUCAGCUUGUUGGUGGGGUAAUGGCCUACCAAGGCGUCGACGGGUAGCCGGCCUGAGAGGGUGUACGGCCACAUUGGGACUGAGAUACGGCCCAGACUCCUACGGGAGGCAGCAGGGGGGAAUAUUGCACAAUGGGCGCAAGCCUGAUGCAGCGACGCCGCGUGGGGGAUGAAGGCCUUCGGGUUGUAAACUCCUUUCGCUAGGGACGAAGCGCAAGUGACGGUACCUGGAGAAGAAGCACCGGCUAACUACGUG